GCUGCGGAGGACGACGUUGUUGUGCAAAUGCACAAUCGAGUUUCAGACAUAGUAAUUAAUUUCCACUCCGGGAGGCUUAAUACCCUGAACAUAGGCAAUUAACUUUGAAUGUACUGAGCUUAUUGUAUUUAGAAAGGACAUGAUGUAACGAAGCAAUAUCUUGUGGUUUUUGGUGGAAUGGUCCAGGCAGAUAUUUCCUCCGCCGCGAAAUGGAGGAAGCUGCGCAGCUAUGGGAAAAAGCUCGGCAAGAAGCUCUAUUUUCAACGAGAUAUUUCUUUAAACAUUUAUAAUAAUAAACACAAUAUGUUUAAUAAAUAAUCGAAUUACUUUGCAACCAAGGUAGAAAUUACAACAUAA